CCAGUUGUACGCCAUGGAUAGCAAUGGCGACGGUGUGCCGGAUCGUGACAGCAGUGGACAGGUUGUUCCUGCUUCAGGUGCAGCAACAGGC
rnacentral:tRNA from 1 species